UACGGGGGGGGCAAGCGUUGUUCGGAAUUACUGGGCGUAAAGGGCUCGUAGGCGGCCAACUAAGUCAGACGUGAAAUCCCUCGGACUUAACCGGGGAACUGCGUCUGAUACUGGAUGGCUUGAGUUCGGGAGAGGAUGUGGAAUUCCAGGUGUAGCGGUGAAAUGCGUAGAUAUCUGGAGGAACACCGGUGGCGAAGGCGGCAUCCUGGACCGACACUGACGCUGAUGAGCGAAAGCCAGGGGAGCAAACGGG
rnacentral:rRNA from 1 species